CCUACGGGUGGCAGCAGUGGGGAAUAUUGCACAAUGGGGGAAACCCUGAUGCAGCGACGCCGCGUGAGUGAAGAAGUAUUUCGGUAUGUAAAGCUCUGUUAGCAGGGAAGAAAAUGACGGUACCUGACCAAGAAGCCCCGGCUAACUACGUGUCAGCAGCCGCCGUAAUACGUAGGGGGCAAGCGUUGUCCGGAUUUACUGGGGGUAAAGGGAGCGUAGACGGCAGGGCAAGUCUGGGGUGAAAGGCGGGGGCUCAACCCCCGGACUGCUCUGGAAACUGCCAGGCUGGAGUGCAGGAGAGGUAAGUGGAAUUCCUAGUGUAGCGGUGAAAUGCGUAGAUAUUAGGAGGAACACCAGUGGCGAAGGCGGCUUACUGGACUGUAACUGACGUUGAGGCUCGAAAGCGUGGGGAGCAAACAGGAUUAGAUACCCUUGUAGUC
rnacentral:rRNA from 1 species